ACUCAAAGGAAUAGACGGGGGCCCGCACAAGCAGCGGAGCGUGUGGUUUAAUUCGACGCAACACGCAGAACCUUACCUAGACUUGACAUGCACCUGCAGGGUGGGGAAACCCAUCGGCCUUCGAGGGUGGUGCACCGGUGCUGCAUGGCUGUCGUCAGCUCGUGUCGUGAGAUGUUGGGUUAAGUCCCGCAACGAGCGCAACCCUUGCCCCAUGUUACUUGUGUCAUGGGGGACUGCCGGUGGGUUCCACCGGAGGAAGGCGGGGAUGACGUCAAGUCCGCAUGGCCCCUACGUCUAGGGCUACACACACGCUACAAUGGUCGGCGGAAAGCGGAGCGAGAGCGCAAGCUUCAGCAAAUCGCGAAGGUCGGCCGCAGUUCAGAUUGGGGGCUGCAACUCGCCCCCAUGAAGGCGGAGUUGCUAGUAACCGCGUGUCAGCAAAGCGCGGUGAAUACGUACCCGGGCCUUGUACACACCGCCCGU
rnacentral:rRNA from 1 species